rnacentral:rRNA from 1 species
UAAAGGGUCCGUAGGCGGUUUGGUAAGUCAGUGGUGAAAGCCCAUCGCUUAACGAUGGAACGGCCAUUGAUACUGCCAGACUUGAAUUACUAGGAAGUAACUAGAAUAUGUAGUGUAGCGGUGAAAUGCUUAGAUAUUACAUGGAAUACCAAUUGCGAAGGCAGGUUACUACUAGUGGAUUGACGCUGAUGGACGAAAGCGUGGGGAGCGAACAGGAUUAGAUACCCAGU